rnacentral:tRNA from 1 species
GAGGGUGUAACUCAAGAGUUCAAGAGCACAUGCUUAGCACGCAUGAGGUCCUGGGUUCAAGCCCCAGGACCUCCU